GCGAGGGAAUUAGCUGCGCAACGGAGGAACAUAAUAGAGGAGAGCGACAUCUCCGAGCCAAACUACAUGAAGCUAAUCAUCAAGGAGACGCUGCGGCUUCACCCGCCGGCCACGCUGUUACCGAGACUGUGCAGGGAGACCUGCGAGGUCAUGGGAUACAGGAUAGACGACGGCACUCGCGUCUUCGUCAACGCAUGGGCGAACGGCAGGGAUGCGCGUUACUGGGACGACGCCGAGAGCUUCAAGCCAGAGAGGUUCCAAGGCAGCGCCAUGGAUUUCAAGGGAGUCGAUUUCGACUACUUGCCGUUCGGGGCCGGGCGGAGGAUAUGCCCCGGAAUCGGGUUCGGGAUGGCCACCGUGGAGCUCGCCCUGGCUCACCUCCUCCUGCACUUCGACUGGGAGCUGCCCCAUGGAAUGAGACCGGAGGAGCUCGACAUGUGCGAGACCAUGGCGUUUGUCGCACCGAGGAAGACGGAGCUGAAGCUGAUCGCUACCAUUCGAGUUCCUAUCCCCAUCGCUACCUGAAGCUUUCUUGUUGGCGCAUUUAUUAUUAAGUGAAGGAUCUAAAUCAAAGAACAAUAAAUCUAAGAAUUAUAAUGCAUUCCUUUCGGUUGAGAAAAAUCUUCUCUACAAACACAACUAGAUUAGUAUUUUUCUCUCUUUCUACCAUUCACUUCUCUUUAAUCUCUAUUAAAUUAUUAUAUAUAUAUAUAUAAGUAAUUAGUAAAAUUUCUCUAAGAUAAUCUCUAAAUAAAUUUUAUUAUAAUUAAAAUUUCUUUUUGUUGAUCGACAAUCGAAUUCAAUCAUACUUAUAAUAUAAUUAGAUGUCUGUCUUUCAUAAAGUGUCAACUUCUCAUAAGUUGAAAAGAUAUAGACUAAGUAUAGAUAGGAAUGAGAGGAAGACAAUUAGCUUAUAGAAAUAUACAUCUGUUGUAGGAAAUAAUGUUGCCACGAAAUAAUUUUAGAUGUGAUUGAUGUAUAUAGAUAAAACCAUAUGCCUCCCAAGAAACAUGCACUUUACUACGUUCCAGAUGACUGUGUUGGAUUUCUCCUAUAGGCAGAUAUAUAUAGAUAAACAAUGUGUUCAUGUCAAUCAGCAAGAAAAGACAACUACUUAAAUAAAAUUGGGUUCUCAAAUGGACGAGGGUGUCUAUACUCCAUCUGAUUCUAUACAUCUUUAGAUCAUCGAAGUAUUGUACUUAUGGAUAAUAUUAGAUUCUCAUUAGAUUUUAGUGGCUUUGAUCAAAUCAAUUGACCAUUGUUGCCAAGAUGUCAUUUUCAAAGAUUUUUUCUUCUUUUAUUGUAGGAAAAUAUUCUAGAAUGACAACUUUUAGUUUCAUUUUUGUUUAGGAGAGAUGUUUUUCCCACACAAAAAAGAGAGACGCUUAAAAUCUAUGAUCACUAGAACACCACUGAGAUAAGGAAUUGCUUCUCAAAGAAAGCAACAAAAACACACAAACAAAUAAAUUUCGUGAAAAAAAUAUGAUCAUGACACGUCGAGCUCGUCUGCGUUAGGACAAUUAUGAUCAAUAUUUGUUUUCACAGUUUGCAUUGAUGCUCGACACAAGCAUCAAUGGCUACACACUGCAAUUUGCACAGUUGUUUUCGUUAAUACUGAGUCUGCUAAUUGAUGCAAAUUGUCAUUGCAAAGCUCAUUCCUGGCCUGUUCGGUCUCUCGAGGCCUGUAGACAACAUCACAAAUGCAUUUACAGCUCACAUCGGUGACCAUCACAGUGAAGUAACGGAAUUGGAACCGAGGAGGAAGAGAGCUCGCCUUCUGUAUCGGUUAUGGACAAGUGUAACCAGAGGGUUGAAGUCCUCGAAGACACUGUCCUCCCACUCUAUUGCUGAAAUGAUGUCUGCCAAAUGUAAUUCUCGUCCUGCCACACGACCUCCUUAUCAGUGCUGCAAUUCUCGUCACUCCUCUCCGCGGAGUUCCAUCUACGUGCAUCUUCCUCGUCUUUUCCAUCACCAAGUACUAGCUCGACCGCCUUGGAAGCCCUUGGUUGGAAUAUAUAUAUAUAUAUAUAUAUAUAUAUAUAUAUAUAUAUAUAUAUAUAUAUAAAAUUGACUUUUCUGUAAAACUUCAAGGAGAAUAGGAAGAGAAUAGUAUAAUAAACCACGAGUACUUUCAAUUAGUAGUGCUUUUGACUGACUGAUCAAAGACCACCUAUUUAUAUUAACUAAAAGAUAAAAUAUUUUUUUUAAUUAUAAAAAAUAUUAUAUCCCAAUAAAUCUUUUCACCCUCAUCUAUUUAUUUAAAUCUAAAUUCUUCUAUUUUAUUUUAUCUAUUCCUAAUUAUUUGAAUUAAUCUUAUCACACCCCUUUAAUUCAAAAGGGUUAUAACUUGAAGAUCUCUUGAAAAAAAUAAAAUUAUUAUUUAUUUUUUUAUCAUCCUCAUAGUUGCUAUUAAUUUAUCAAUUUUCUUAUCAUAAAUCAAGUAUUUUUCAUUUUAAAAAUAGCAUAACAUUAUUUUCUCAUCACUUCCUAUACUAAUGAGAUUUUAUUUUAAAUUAUAAAUAAACAUCGCAUCAUCAAUGAAUUUUUUACCAAAUCUGGUGUUCACGUUAAUUGUUCCUUUCCCUUUAACUUGAACUUUACUGUCAUUUCUCAUUUGUACUAUAGAUCAAAUUGAAUUAUCAAGGAACAACUUUAGUCCUCUGUCAUAUAAUAAAGAUACGGAGUAUUCUUUAUUAAAUGCUAUAAGGAAAAUAUUUUCUUUAUCCUUUUUAUCGUUAUUAUUUUCCUCAUGAUAAUUUGUUUGAGUUUUGUUCUAAUAUUUUUUUUAGAUGACCAUAUAUCUUUUUCAAGAUGACCAUAUUUUUUUUACGGUGAGAGCAGAGAGGAAUAUUUAGUUUUUUAUUUUUUAUUUUUUCAAUAUAUUUAAUUUUUUUAUAAUAAAAAUAUUGACGUGUUUCUUUAUUACCUACAUUAGAAUUCCUCUAACCAUCAUAUAAUUGGCAUUGUUCUUUACCAUUUUGAUCUUUCUCUUGAGAUCUAGUUUUUUACUUUUUCUUUUGGUCUUCUUUUGAUGUAUCUUUAUGAAGGGCUCUAAAGUUUCAUGUGAAGAUUAUUCACUUUUUAUUCAUGGACUAAAAGCAAGCCUAUUAAUUCAUCAACAGAUAAUAUACUUGUACCUUUAGCUUCUUCUAUAGCUAGUAGAAAUAAUAUCAAAUUUUGAAGAUCUUUUAAAUUUUAUUAAACUUUUUCUACUACAAUUUGAUCUUUUAAAUUUUCACCAUAAAAUCUCAUUUGUUUCAUAAUAGAAGAGACUUAAAAAAAAAAAAACCAAUGAUAGAUUAAGAAUUUUUCUUCAUAAGAGCUUCAAAUUGACGCUGAAGAAUUUGAAGUUUUGAAACUUUUACCUUAUUUCUGCCUCCAAACAUACUUUUUAAUAAUUUUCAAGUUUUUAUUGAUAUUGAUAUUAUCAUGAUUUGAGGAAAUAGAAGCUCAUCUAUUGCUUGUUGUAGCAUGUAGAAGGCUAUUACAUCUUUUUGCAUGUUCUUAUUCAUUUGAUCUUUUCGAUCUUCAAUAAUAUUAGGAUUAUAUAGAUCAUACUCAACAAAACUAUUCACUACUAAAUUUUACAAUCCUUGUGAAAUUUUACAAUAAUAUUAGCCUCCUUUUUGCCUCCUCUCGACGUAGGACGAACGCCCACGGCAGCGGAGGAGAAGGAUGAGCAGAUCAAAACCAGAGAGAGAGAAGAGGGAGCGAAUUUGUAGAGAGUUGGUGUGAUUAGUGUGGGAUAUGAUUAAGAGAGAGAGAGAGAGAGAGUGAUAAGGGUAAAAAUGGUGAUGUCACACACGACGUCAGCCGACGCCUCAUGUCUCGAUCGGCGCAACUGCACUCGAUUAACCGAGCCGGAACACUGGCCGAGGCUCAUUAACACACUUGGUUCUUCACGCCACGCCAACCCCAUAUCAGACGCUAUCAGCCUGCCUCCUGCAGGAAGCCACGUCAAGUAACAUCAAACUCAUAUAUAAAUACCCCAGAGUUCUAAACGAACAGGGAGGGAGACGAUUUCACCCAAAAACUCCUCUCCCAAUCACUGACUUGAUCGUCGGAGGGGUCGGGCUGAACCGCCGACCCGACCUGUGUGCAGGUACUCAACUAAAGCCGAUCCAACCCGGCGUUGUGGAACUUUCCAGCCAGACCCCCGCAAUCGGCCGCCCCAAGAUCCCGAGAAGAGUCACGCCUGAUCCCGGCCAUUCGGACCCCUGAACCAGCCGCGUCGACCCCGAGGUCACGGCUAAAAAAGUUACUUACCAUAACAGAUUGGCGCUAGAAGGAGGGGCCCGAAUGUCGAGGGAUCCUCAGACUAAUCCCGACAAACUCCCUGCCGAGGGAUCGUUCUUAGCGGGGGCGCAGACCGUGCGUCCCUUGCGCGACGGGCCGCGGGCUGACGACCUCCCCGCGACCUCGGAACGCUACUAGCGUUCAUUCGACGACCCGAAUCUGCUUCCGCCGGAGGGCGCUCCGAGCGCCCCCUCGCCAGUGUCAUCCGAGGCCUUUCACGACCUCGCUCGUCAAGUCCGAGCUCUGACGGAUAUGGUGCAAACCAUCAUCCCGCCCGUCUCCCAACCGACACCCCCGCUUAAGACUCAACUGCUACGACAACAAGAGCCGCCCGCCUGGGCCCACGUGACGCCUCCGGAGCCUCCCGCUUCGCCUCGGGUCCGACCGACCCCACUCGGGGAUCCAGUGAUGGCAGACCCGAGCGGCCCCCCGGAGCCCGAAGUAUUAUCUCCGGAGUCAACGGAUUCCCUGCGAGCCCAGCUACACUUUCUUAGUCAGCGGCUCGACGAACUAGAGAAGGAGUUUCGCAACUCAGAGGGAGAGCUCGGGAUGGACGCAUACCGAGGAUCUCCGUUCGCACCAAAGAUACGAGAUCACGCAGUUCCCCCGAACUUCCAUCUCCCUUCUUCGGACGCAUACGAUGGCUCCACUGACCCAGCGGACCAUGUUGCCGCUUUCCGUGCCCAAUUGGCACUGUACGGAACGUCUGCGCUUCAAUGUGCAGGGCGUUUCCCACGACCCUGAGGGGUCCGGCCCGCACAUGGUACAGCGGCCUGAAGACCGGAACGAUCACUUCCUUCGGCCAACUCGCCAAGGACUUCGAGCUCCACUUCGUAGCCCAUGCCCGGCCAAAGCCCUCCGCGACACUGCUCCUCGGACUCAAACAAAGAGAGGACGAGCCCCUCUCACAUUUCGUGGACCGCUUUGCCACGCAAAUCCGGAGCUUACCAGACACUCACCCCUCUCUGUUAGUUCAGGCGUUCAUGGUAGGCUUGCGACCUUCCAAAUUCUGUUGGUCCCUCGUAGAGCGACCCCCCACCACAGUACCAGAUAUGCUCCAGCGAGCUAACCGGUACAUCGCGGCGGAAGCUUGGGUGACCGCAAGGAAGAGGAGUGACUUUGGGCGACGGGCCCCGUAGCAGCGGUCAAGCAUCCGCGGUUGCUAUCCGGUGUAAUCCUCGUGCAAGGAAUCUAGCCCCUGCCUCAGUCUCUUCCAAGCGAAGGCUCCAUGUUUACCUGACCGCCUCUUGGCUCACGGUUAGCUUCGGCCUAACCCCCUCUUUUUUGCAUUCGCAUGGCUCGGUCGUAGACGGCCCGAGUCCACCUCAGCGCGGCCUGCGCGCCUGAGCAUUGCCCCUCGGUCGCAGCCUACCUGCGCCGAGCACCUCGGCCACACAUUGCCGAGAUCCACCUCGGCGCGGCUUGUCCGCCUGUGUCGUGCUACUCGGUCGCAUGGUGCCCGAGACCACGUCUGCGUGUCCUGCCCGCCUGCGUCGUGCUACUCGGCCGCAUGGCCCUCGCGACCAUGCCUGCGCGGUCUGCUCGCCUGCGUCGUACUCCUCGGCAGCAUGAUGCCCGAGACCACACCUGCGCAGCCUGCCCGCCUGCGUCGUGCUCCUCGCUCCCAUCAUCCCCGAGACACACCUGCGCGGCCAGCCCGCCUGCGUCGUGCUCCUUGGCUCCAUGUUCCCGAGACACACCUGCACGGCCAGCCCGCCUGCGUCGUGCCCCUCGGCUCCAUACUCCCCGAGACACGCCUGCGCGGCCAGCCUGCCUGCGNNNNNNNNNNNNNNNNNNNNGGCAAGAAAGAAUGAGGAUUUGACGUUUACGUUACUCAACUCUUUAAUCACUCUCUCGCUCUCUCUCUCUCUCUCUCUCUCUCGGUUUGACUCCGCAGAUAUGUAGAGAGAGCAACAACGACACCUCGACGGGAAUUACGUCGAGGAGGUUGUAUGCUCUUUUUACAAUUUUCUGAAAUAACCUAAUACGUAACAAAAAUUAAAAUGUUAACGAGAUUGGCAGUUCAAAACUUCAUUCGAUAAAUAUGAUGAUGUCUCCCAAGUUUAACCGAUUAAGAAGUUAAUUAUUUUAUAGUAAAAUCUAAAAUUAAAAUGUAAAAAAAAGUCAAUCGUAACUGUACAAGCCAUGCCUUUACGUACUAAUUUAUAAUAUUUAUCCUAAUCGAUUUGAUAUUGUUAUCUUUAUUGAUAAAGUUUACUAUUAAUAAUAAUUUUUUACUAUUGACAACCCGCUUGCUAUUGAUAAUUUUUUAAAAAAUAAAAUAUUAUUUUACUAUUUAUAGUCCUUAUAUUAACUAUUUUUUAUCUUUUUUUUAUAACCUCUUAUUUUAUUCUUGCUACCGACAUCCUUUCAAUUAUUGACAUUAUCGCUCACAGUUAUCGUCCGACCCUACUCAUCACCUCUUGAUAUUGACUUUCUAGAAGAAAAAUAUUGAGGAGAAAUUUGAAGAAGAGGAAGAUAUUUAUAUUUAUUUACAAAGAGUUUGUUUAGAAAUAUUAAAAAUUAAAAAAAAAUUAUAAAUGAUAAAAGAAACUUAAAAGUAGUAAUAUCCUUUUUGAUUAGUGGAUUAUGUUGCAUCUACCAACAUAGUUUUUGGAUGAAAUGAAGCUAAAAAGCAUUUCUAAAUCGGCAGUGAUAAAUUUGUUCUCAUUUUAGUCUAUUAUUGUUUUGCUUAUUUUAUAUCACUUAUUUGUGUAUCUCAUUUAGUGAUCUUUAUUUAAUAUAUAUAUUCUUAAUGAUGUCUCAUUUUCUUUUUUCUCUCUUGAUUUGCUUUGUUAUAUUUAUUUUAACAUUUAGUAAUAGAGAUAUGAGAAUAAUAACUUAAGAAAGACCAUCAAUAUCUUAACACCAUAUUAUUGAUACAUUAACGUCAUAUGAUCGACACUCAGUACUAUGUGACUAACAACUCUUUGCUACAUGAUCGAUACCUUAAUAUCAAAUGGUCAAUGCAUCAUCACCCCUCGAGUGCUGUGAUUACUGACUCAACCUUAUAAAAAUUAGUAUAUGAGAUCUAGCUUAACUAGUUGUUACUUCAUGUUCCUUAAAUGCGACGCUACAUGAUCACAUUUGUAGUCGAAGAAAAUACGUAAUCAUUUUAGACAUUAACCACACCAUUAAUCCAAAAAUCAAAUACUCCACUAUAAAUGCCCUCCAAGUAAAUUACACCUUUUAUAUUCGAUAUUAGCUUGAAUCUUUCGAACUUUUUAUUAAUUUAAAUAUCGAAGAGAUCUUAUCGCUCUCUACGUAAUUCUUUUUCAUAAUAUAUCUUACUGAACCUGCUCUGCCCUUCUCUUGACAUCAAGUUUGUGAUAGAUUUAGACUCUAAUCAAGAUUGACUUUUUACCGUCUACGAAAAAUCAAAUUCUAUUCAGCAAACUAUUGCCAUGGUAGUCAUAAAAUAUAAAACCAAAAUCAUGAAUCACAUCCUCAAAUUGUUAGAUUUUACUAAUUAGAUUUUUUAAUUCUCAUAGUUUUAUUUACUAUAAAAGUACUUAAACUUCUCCAACUACACGUACAUGGAAGAGACAGAGUGAAAUCUAUUAUAUUAUUUGCUCUAUGAGCCUGUCAUCAAUCGGUCUAUCCAGUACAUAUCAGUCUUUUUAUUAUAAUAUUAUUUUUAAUAAAAUGAUAAUAAUAAAUAUAAUUUUAGAAAAAAAAUAUAUUUCUUUUUUCACAUCAAAUUAAAAAUAUAAAAGUAGAUGCUUAGGCUAAGUUUAGAUUGGGAAUCUUGAAACAUAAAUUCUUAUUUGUUAUUUUUAUAAAAAUAAAUGAAUAAUAGUUGUUCGACGUAGUUAAGAUGUUAGGAAUAUGAGUGAUUCCGGUCAAAACCCAAAAAAACUACAUCCAAACUUGGAGUUCAAAAGAUGUAGUUAACAAGAGAAAUAUAUAGCUAGUCUCGUAUCUUACCCUCGUUGGAUAGACUAUAAUGGCCAUUAGAAAUCAAUAAAUGAUAAAGCAUGUUAAGAUGAGAAGAAGGCAUCAACAAUGUCAAUAAUGGAAGGAAUCAUAUUGGGAUUUGACUACCGACUACAAUAUAAACUUGGCUCGAUGGAUCGAUUUGUGCAUUUACUUCGUGGGGCCUUAAGCCAUGUUAAAGAUUGUGUAAUAGACCCGGUUGGAUUGGGUUGUUGAUCCAUCAAUCCUACCAGCACUGUGAUAGAUAGCAAGACAUGUUAUUAUAUGAUAUUAGCAUGGGUUAUCCAAAUGUACUACAACUAUUAUGGAUAAGGAUUCUAUUUCAGAGGUUGACUUAAAGUUCAUCUUACAUUGAGAAGAUGGAUUUAUGUAUCAAAAUGUGUAUUAGCUAUAUUUAUAUUAUUAGAGGUAAUAUAGCUUAUCUUUAAAAAUUUUUAAUUUUAUUUUAGGGUGAAUUCUCAGAAAAUUCAUAUAGCACUUUUUUUUUAUUUUUGAAUUUUUUUCCGUUGAAUACCCUAAUUUUUCUUCCUUUAUAGAAAUGUCACAAAAGAUUUUUUUUAUUUUUUAGUUUGAGAGCAUUUUGGUAUAUAUAAAAAAAAGGAUGCGAUGUCAAAAAGUUAAAAACAAAUAGACGGUUUACAAGAAAAAGAAAAAAAAAGGGGACCCUUCUAGGGAUUUUUUUUGACGUGCAAUAUACUUAAAACAUAAUAUAUAAAUAUUAUUUAGAUAAGCACUUUGUAUGAAGGAGACAUUAUAAUUAUAAUAAUUUCAAUGAUAUUAUAAUAUUUAUUAUAAAUAAUAUGACAAACAUGUUGAGAAUAAAUAAUAUUAUAUAUAAUAUAAUAUCAAAUAUAAUAGUUUUAAUUAGAAUAUAAUAUUUAUUAAAAGUAAUGUGAUAAAUGUAUUGAGAAUAAUAAUAUAAUCGACACUUCCUUACAAUCGCAUGUCGAUGUCAGGUGAUAAAUAUGUUGAGAAUAUAUAAUAUAACAUAAUAUGUUAUUAUAAUAUAAUAUUUAUUUGAAUAAGGGGAUAAAUAUGUUGAGAAUAAUGACAUAAAUUACGCUUGCAAUCAUAAAUGUGUUGAGAAUAUAUAAUAUAAUAUAAUAAUUUUUAUUAUAAAAUAUAAUAUAAUUAAAAAUGUCGAAGCAAUGGAUAAACAUGUCGAGAAUGUUAUAAUAUAAUAUAAUAAUGUUUAAUUAUAAUAUAAUAUUUAUUAGAAUAACGACAUGGCCGACACUCGCUUGCAAUGACAUGUCGUGUGUGUGAGGUUACAGCGGCAACUCUACAAAAACCAGCUGCAUUUGGCCGGUCGAUGACGCAGAGAGGGCAUCUGUGGUUCUCCAUGGAACUGCUGCAGCUCCCUUCCAUCCCAGUCUUGGUGUUCUCCUUCCUCUUCUUGCUCCUCUUGAUCAAGAAGAGAGGAUUCACCGGGUGCAGAAAUGAGAGCCACCCACCACGUCGUCCACCAGGCCCAUGGAAUCUACCCUUCGUCGGAUGCAUGCACCACCUGGUCGGGCAGCUCCCCUUCCGCGCAUUCCGCGAGCUCGCCCGCAAGCAUGGCCCCCUCAUGCUCCUCCGGCUCGGCCAGGUCGACGUCGUCGUCGUCUCCUCGCGCGAAGCCGCCGAGGAGAUCUUGAAGAACCAGAGCGUCACCUUCGCUUCCCGGCCCGAGCUCCUCUCUACCAAGUUCGUCUUCUACGGCCCAACCGGCAUCGUCUGGGCCCCCUACGGCCCUUACUGGCGGCAGCUGCUCAAGCUCUGCUGCAUGGAGCUGUUCUCCGCCGGGCGCAUCCGGUCGUUCUCCCCCAUCAGGACGGAGGAGACCCUUGACCUGAUGAGAGACAUCGCGAGGUCGGGCGGAACCACCGUCAACCUGACCGAGAAGCUCUUCGGGCUGUCGAACGCCAUCGUCUGCCGAGCGGCGUUCGGCAAGCGGCGCAAGCACCGGGAGAGGUUCAUCCCGGUCAUCAAGGAUGCUCUGGCGCUCUCCAGUGGUUUCCGCGUGGCCGACAUGUUCCCGUCGCUCAAGUUCAUCGACAUCCUCUCGGGUGCCGUGUUCAGGUUGCGGCGGCUCCGGCGGCAGCUAGACGAGAUCCUGGAAGACAUAAUCAAGGAGCAUGAGGGCAAGGCUUCCGCGAGCAGCGGCGACAAAGCUGGAGAGGUAGACGACCUAGUGGACGUGCUGCUGAGGCUCAAAGACGACCCCCAACUGGAAGUGCCCUUGACGAUGGAAAACGUCAAGGGUGUGAUCGUGGUAAGGAACGAUCCAUCGAUCGAUCGAUUCCCGUGAUACUAAUCUAUUGACUACCCACAUCGCUCUUGGUUCUUGUGAUCUACAGGACAUGUUCCUGGGGGGCACCGAGACGUCUUCGACCGUCGUCGAAUGGGCCAUGUCGGAGCUGAUGAGAAACCCCGAGAUCAUGGAGAGAGCGCAGAAGGAAGUGAGGGAAUUAGCUGCGCAACGGAGGAACAGAGUAGAGGAGAGCGACAUCUCCGAGCUAAACUACAUGAAGCUAAUCAUCAAGGAGACGCUGCGGCUUCACCCGCCGGCCCCGCUGUUACCGAGACUGUGCAGGGAGACCUGCGAGGUCAUGGGGUACAGGAUCGACGCCGGCACUCGCGUCUUCGUCAACUUAUGGGCGAACGGCAGGGAUGCGCGUUACUGGGACGACGCCGAGACAUUCAAACCAGAGAGGUUCGAAGGCAGCGCCAUGGAUUUCAAGGGAGUCGACUUCGAGUACUUGCCGUUCGGGGCCGGGCCGAGGAUAUGCCCCGG
rnacentral:lncRNA from 1 species